UUGAAGAGUUUGAUCAUGGCUCAGAUUGAACGCUGGCGGCAGGCCUAACACAUGCAAGUCGAGCGGUAGCACAGAGAGCUUGCUCUCGGGUGACGAGCGGCGGACGGGUGAGUAAUGUCUGGGAAACUGCCUGAUGGAGGGGGAUAACUACUGGAAACGGUAGCUAAUACCGCAUAACGUCGCAAGACCAAAGUGGGGGACCUUCGGGCCUCAUGCCAUCAGAUGUGCCCAGAUGGGAUUAGCUAGUAGGUGGGGUAACGGCUCACCUAGGCGACGAUCCCUAGCUGGUCUGAGAGGAUGACCAGCCACACUGGAACUGAGACACGGUCCAGACUCCUACGGGAGGCAGCAGUGGGGAAUAUUGCACAAUGGGCGCAAGCCUGAUGCAGCCAUGCCGCGUGUGUGAAGAAGGCCUUCGGGUUGUAAAGCACUUUCAGCGGGGAGGAAGGCGUUAAGGUUAAUAACCUUGGCGAUUGACGUUACCCGCAGAAGAAGCACCGGCUAACUCCGUGCCAGCAGCCGCGGUAAUACGGAGGGUGCAAGCGUUAAUCGGAAUUACUGGGCGUAAAGCGCACGCAGGCGGUCUGUCAAGUCGGAUGUGAAAUCCCCGGGCUCAACCUGGGAACUGCAUUCGAAACUGGCAGGCUAGAGUCUUGUAGAGGGGGGUAGAAUUCCAGGUGUAGCGGUGAAAUGCGUAGAGAUCUGGAGGAAUACCGGUGGCGAAGGCGGCCCCCUGGACAAAGACUGACGCUCAGGUGCGAAAGCGUGGGGAGCAAACAGGAUUAGAUACCCUGGUAGUCCACGCCGUAAACGAUGUCGAUUUGGAGGUUGUGCCCUUGAGGCGUGGCUUCCGGAGCUAACGCGUUAAAUCGACCGCCUGGGGAGUACGGCCGCAAGGUUAAAACUCAAAUGAAUUGACGGGGGCCCGCACAAGCGGUGGAGCAUGUGGUUUAAUUCGAUGCAACGCGAAGAACCUUACCUGGUCUUGACAUCCACAGAACUUUCCAGAGAUGGAUUGGUGCCUUCGGGAACUGUGAGACAGGUGCUGCAUGGCUGUCGUCAGCUCGUGUUGUGAAAUGUUGGGUUAAGUCCGCAACGAGCGCAACCCUUAUCCUUUGUUGCCAGCGGUCCGGCCGGGAACUCAAAGGAGACUGCCAGUGAUAAACUGGAGGAAGGUGGGGAUGACGUCAAGUCAUCAUGGCCCUUACGACCAGGGCUACACACGUGCUACAAUGGCAUAUACAAAGAGAAGCGACCUCGCGAGAGCAAGCGGACCUCAUAAAGUAUGUCGUAGUCCGGAUUGGAGUCUGCAACUCGACUCCAUGAAGUCGGAAUCGCUAGUAAUCGUAGAUCAGAAUGCUACGGUGAAUACGUUCCCGGGCCUUGUACACACCGCCCGUCACACCAUGGGAGUGGGUUGCAAAAGAAGUAGGUAGCUUAACCUUCGGGAGGGCGCUUACCACUUUGUGAUUCAUGACUGGGGUGAAGUCGUAACAAGGUAACCGUAGGGGAACCUGCGGUUGGAUCACCUCCUU
rnacentral:rRNA from 1 species